UACAGAGGUGGCAAGCGUUGUUCGGAAUUACUGGGCGUAAAGCGCGCGCAGGCGGUCUUCCAAGUCAGUGGUGAAAGCCUGGAGCUCAACUCCAGAACUGCCAUUGAAACUGUUAGACUUGAGUACGAGAGAGGUGAGUGGAAUUCCCAGUGUAGAGGUGAAAUUCGUAGAUAUUGGGAAGAACACCAGUGGCGAAGGCGGCUCACUGGCUCGUAACUGACGCUCAGGCGCGACAGCGUGGGGAUCAAACAGG
rnacentral:rRNA from 1 species